UGUCUCUUUAUUUGUAAGUCGCUCUGGAUAAGAGCGUCUGCUAAAUGACAUAAG
rfam:Salmo salar isolate Sally breed double haploid chromosome ssa10, whole genome shotgun sequence.